CAGCCGCCGCGGUAAUACGUAGGGGGCGAGCGUUACCCGGAUUCACUGGGCGUAAAGGGGGUGUAGGCGGCUCGGUAAGUCGGGUGUGAAAUCCCACGGCUCAACCGUGGAAUUGCGCCCGAAACUGCCGAGCUUGGGGCCGGUAGAGGGAGACGGAACUGCCGGUGUAGGGGUGAAAUCCGUAGAUAUCGGGAGGAACACCAGUGGCGAAGGCGGCCUCCUGGCCCGCUCCUGACGCUGAGACCCGAAAGCGUGGGGAGCAAACCGGAUUAGAUACCCGGGUAGUCCACGCCGUAAACGGUGGGCACUAGGUGUGGGGGGUUAAUCCCUCCGUGCCGAAGCUAACGCAUUAAGUGCCCCGCCUGGGGAGUACGGCCGCAAGGUUGAAGCUUAAAGGAAUUGGCGGG
rnacentral:rRNA from 1 species